rnacentral:rRNA from 1 species
CGAGAGUACGUGCCGUGCGCGGGGGGAAUACGGAGUGUGCGAGCGGUGCCCGGUGUUAGUGGGCGGAAAGGGCGCGUAGGCGGUCCGACACGUCCGUUGUGAAAUCGCCCGGCUCAACUGGGCGGGGUCAGCGGAUACGGUCUGACUUGAGCAAGCUAGGGGGCAAUGGAAUUCCCGGUGUAGUGGUGGAAUGCGUAGAUAUCGGGAGGAACACCAGUGGCGAAGGCGGUUGCCUGGGGCUUUGCUGACGCUGAUGCGCGAAAGCGUGGGGAGCGAUCCGGAUUAGAUACCCGAGUAGUC